rnacentral:rRNA from 1 species
UACGGAGGAUGCAAGUGUUAUCCGGAAUCACUGGGCGUAAAGCGUCUGUAGGUGGUCAAACAAGUCAACUGUUAAAGCUUGAAGCUCAACUUCAAAAUCGCAGUCGAAACUACUCGACUCGAGUAUAGUAGGGGUAAAGGGAAUUUCCAGUGGAGCGGUGAAAUGCGUAGAGAUUGGAAAGAACACCAAUGGCGAAGGCACUUUACUGGGCUAUUACUGACACUGAGAGACGAAAGCUAGGGGAGCAAAUGGG